rnacentral:rRNA from 1 species
GACGAACGCUGGCGGCGUGCCUAAUACAUGCAAGUCGAACGAGAGCAACCGGUGCUUGCACUGUUCAAUCUAGUGGCACACGGGUGUGUAACACGUGUAUAACCUCCUUAUCAGAGGGGGAAAACAUGCGGACACGGGCGCUAACACCGCAUAAGCUUUCGCUCCGCGUUGUUGGUUGGGGAGAUGCGGCGCAAGCUUCUGCUCAUGCGUGUUCCCGGGGUGUAUUAGCUGGUUUGGGGGGUCACGGCUCUCAAAGGCCGUGAUGCAUAGACGAACAGAGGGGGGGAUAGGCGACAUUGGGACGGAGACACGGCCCAAACUCCUACGGGAGGGCGCAGUAGGGAAUCUUCCGCAAUGGACGCAAGUCUGACGGAGCAACGCCGCGUGAGUGAAGAAGGUUUUCGGAUCGUAAAACUCUGUUGUUAGAGAAGAACAAGUGCUAGAGUAACUGUUAGCGCCUUGACGGUAACUAACCAGAAAGCCACGGCUAACUACGUG